UCUAUGACCGCUUUGACUUUGGCCCGCCACUUCAUCUCUAUCAGCCCUUGCUGGACUGAUAAUGCAAUCAAGUAUCUGUCCUUUAUCACUUAAUCAAAUUAUAUUAACUAAAACUAAUCUUUUGAGCAAAGCUGUACUGACCAACUUUGUUUUCCCAGUCAGAGAAAGCUAGAAUAAUCCAGAGCUGGCUCCGUCUAGGUCCCAUGACCUAUCAUCAACUUCUCCUUAUUUUCAAGACAAUACACAUCUCUUUCCCCCAUCCUUUGGGUUGAAGAGUCAUUCUGUGGCUGAUGCUAAUGGCUAGAGUAGCUGUCACAGUCCUAGUGCCCCUGCAUCCUUCUGGCAAGAGCCACGGCUGCUGCAAGAACCGGAUUGUCUGCAGGCUCUACUACCUCACAAGCUCUUGAAAGCCAGAUAACACUUGCCAUAAUCUUUACUGGGUCCGUUCACAAAAAAUGGGACAGCCACUGUCACCUCUCCUGGGACUGUCACUGUUGGCACUCUCUUCACACGCACACAGGAAUAUUCUCCUAAAUACAUCUCUUACCACCACUCUUUUCAGCAAUUGGGGAAUUCAACUACAUUACUUAGAUGUUCUGAACCUCUAUCCCCUUUGGGCCAAAACAACUGCCAGUAACUGCCAACUCCAAGAACAGAGGCUUCCCAUUGGAGCAUCAGUUUGUCAAUCAACCAACUCAGGGAGUGGGACUCUUUCUUUCCCAUGCAGAGCUGCACAUGUCAAACUAAAGGUGAUUUUUUUCCACCCGUUUAGGUAAAUGGGUGCAACUUUGUGCCGGGCACCAUUAUAUCAGUUUUAGAGCAUCUUAAAGCAGCUCAUCUUAUGCCAUUUUGUAACUGACAUAAACUAAACCAAUUUAAGACAUUUAAACCAAUUUAAGUGUGUCCAUAUUAGGGAGGGAGUCACUUCAAUUUAAUUAAAUAGUUUUAGAAACUGAUUCAGUUAAAUGGUGCACAAAUUGUGUGUAGACAAGGCCUCCUUUGCCAGCAGAGCAGAUAAAUCCACUAGGAUAUGAGAGGGUAAUUAUUCCUUUUGUAAGUCAUAAACAGGAACACUUCCAUAAAAUAUCAAACUUUUACAUACUUCUCAUGUUCUUUAGUGUGCUUAGAGCUGAAGUCCUCCUUUUAUUUACCAAAAGGCAAAGUACAAGUGGUGUCAAACCACAGAGAACCUCCAAAGGACAAGCUUUAGAAUAUGGAAACUUUGGGCUAAUAUGAAGGUAAACUUUCAACAACAACAAAAAAAUUCCCAACAACAAAAUAAAAUAUAUAUAUUUAAGGUACUAUUAAAAGGGCAAAUCCUGUACUAGGAAGUGAAGUAACAUUGUCUCCAUUCAUUAGGCCAUUAGUUUAAUCUGUUCUUGAUAUGUGAGGAGUAUUGUGUGCCCAUAUUUGUGUUUAAAACAGUCUACCUUCCUGCCUACAACUCCUAUGCCACAUCCUCCUGUAGACAGCAUAAGGGACCUGAUGAUCCCUGGCGGCUGGAGUGUCCUUUUGGGGCUACUGGCACUGGUGCAAAUUGGAGCAUGCUAAUGGUCCCAAGAUUGGGGGAGUUCAAAGGUGGUUUACAGCCACCUGUGUACUGUCCCCAACUCCUAACUUGUAUCACGUGUUCCUCAGCCAGAUCCCAGGAUCCAA